UUGGGGAGGAAAGGGUUUAUUUUGCCUAUGUUUCUACAGCACUGAUCCUCAUUGAAGGAGGUCAGGACAGAAACUUAAACAGGGCAGGAACCUGGAGGCAGAGGCUGAUGCAGAGGCCAUGGAGGGAUGCUGCUCACUGGCUUGCUCCUUGUAGCUAGCUCAUCCUGCUUUCUGAUAGAACCCAGGACCACCAGGUCAGGGAUAGCACCACCCACUAAGAAAAUGCCCUCCCUUCAGGCCCAUCCUUUGGAGGCAUUUUCUUGAGGGUCCCUCAUGACUUCACUUAUGUUGACAUAAAAGUAUCCAGCACACUCCACCAGGAGUCCUGGUGUAGGUCUUGCCUCAGGGAGCUUUCGUUACUCAAAAUUUUGUCUCACAUUAGCAGUGAGGAUUCAGAAUUGCCUUGAACUGUGUGCUGGGACUGCAGGCUUGUGCUGUCUUGUUGUUUUACGUGGUUCUGGGAAUUACACCCAGGACUUUGUCCAUACUAGGUAAGCACUCUGACAUUUAACUCCAAUCUCACCCUACCCCUCAGAAACCUGUAAGCAUUUAUGUGUGCUUAUCAUAAAGUAUGAUAUCUGCAACUAAAUCUGUAGUAAUUGUCAGGUUCCUACAAUAAGGAACGCAGGCUCUUGGUCUCUUAGUGUUUCCAGACUAAGAAUUUACCAUUGGGGUUGGGGAUUUAGCUCAGCGGUAGAGCGCUUGCCUAGCGAGCGCAAGGCCCUGGGUUUGGUCCCUAGCUCUGGAAAAAAGAAAAAAAAAAAAGAAUUUACCAUUAACCACGUUCUUUUCUAUGCAUGGUUCCAGGCCUUAUUUCAGCUGGAUAUUUGAGAAUUUAACCGUUAAGCUCAAGGAAUACAGUAGCCCACACCUGUAAGCCCGGUACUGGGGAAACAGAGGCAGUGAAUUCCAGAUCUAAGCCAGCUGAGGUCUCAAACUAACUGACUAGCUGGAUCUCAUUGUCUACUGAGGGUGGUUGAGAACUAAGCAAAUGUGAUGUUUGACAACCAUUACAGGUAGGGAAGACAGCUCGUGGGUAAAACACAAGCGAGUUCACACAAGAGGGGUGGGGGCCUCAAGGAGCUUGUCUAGGGAGGUGGACACAGGUGGAUCCCUGAGGUUCAGAAUCAUCAAGCCUUACAAGGUGGAUGUCUUCUCCACGUCUGUGUACCAUGGGCAAGCACACAUGGAGCACACAGACAUGGGUGACUUAGCUCAUGUUUGAGGGUGACAGUAAUGGUAAAGGAAGGAUUCUCAAAGAUCCAAAAGCUUUAAAAGGCCUGGGAGAGGGUAAGAGUUUAACGGGGUUAAUUUUGGUGGCCUCUGAAUUCCUGAGAGCUAACCCUGGUUCCCAGUACUCUGUGACAAAGGUGCAGCAUGGGUAAGACAAGAGAUGAACAGCAGAUCUUUUGGAU
rnacentral:lncRNA from 1 species